UUGUCAUAUGGAAGUUCAAGCAGCAAGGGGAGCCUCUGAUCCCUAGAGGCACCUCCCAGUGGUUUCAGCACCCAGGAGGCAAGCUAAGGAGAGGCAGGUUGUACUGAUUUUCAAGGAUCGGAGAUUUGAUGAAGAGGAUUCAUUUCAAGAAAUAAACCUUUUAAAUUAACCGCAAGAUGAGGGAAAUUUCUUUAUUUAAAAAAUGCGCCAGCCCCUUCUUUGUUUCUUUUAUUAUUAUUAAUAUUAUUUUCCAUCCGGCUCUGGGUCAUUAAGGAGGGUCCAGAAGUCACAGAUUGCCUUUCUGAAGGAGGAGAGCUGAGAACUUCGAAUGUCACACAUUUUGUCUGGCUCCAAACCCUUCAUUUAUUGCAACACAAUUUGUUACCUGUGGUUGGCUCUGCACACCAUUGUGUGCUGUGCGCCAGGACUGAUUUAGCAGGGAAUGUCCUCUCCACCUUGAACUUGAAAGGGGGAAAAUCUCUUGAGAGAGGCGAUAGAAGAAUCAUGAAAGUCAGUCUUCCAGCUACUUAAGAAGAGAAAUGACCUUUGAGGUCUGGGUAAAGUCCCCUCAAGCUUUGACAGGGAUGGAGCUCAGGAAACCCUGGUUAUAACAAAGGCAGAUGGUUCUGUGAGGGCACAUUUAAGAUGCAGGGGUAAAGAAAUGGAAAAAAAGAAAUCCUGGAACCAACACGUGUCCUGAUGUGCCAUCCUGCCAUAGAAGUGUGCAGAUUGCAGUGGACAAUCGCCAAGGCUGGAGGCAAAGGACGGGUCAAGAUGAUUAAAGGACUAGUGCCAUGUUACCCUCGUCUUCCUUGGCAAGGCUGCAAAGGACCAUCUUUGAGGAUGGUAGUUUCUUUCUGAACCAUUUGGGAAUAGUUUGCUCCCCUCCAGUCCUUCCUGGCCACAGCUUCCUUGUAACUCCCUGCAAAAGCUCCUGCAACCUAAUUGCAAAUGUAGCCUCCCAGUUCCCCAGCAUUCUGCCUGGCUGCAGCAUGGAGAGAGGCAAAAUAAGAUUGCUGGAGCAAGCAUCUGCUGUCUUCCAUAAGAAAACUUUUCUUUUUUAGAUAGGUUCAUUUCAAACCCCAAAUGGUUGAGCCUCUUUCCUAUUUGAACAAGAGCCAGUCCUUCAGAAACACAACUGCUCACCUAACCAUAGGUGACCACCUUAGUUGUGUAGGAUGAACCUGCACCAGAGGCUUUUCACAGGUGAUGUCUGGGAAUGGACAGCUUUUGGGCCCUGGAGCCAUCUGCAUUCCUCGGUCCCAGUGAGGCUUCCUGAUCCAAACCCUAGUGUGGGCCCUCCUUGAAGCCAUCCUCUUUGCAGGAAGAACCUGGCUACUGGUGAGACUACAGCCAGUGCACCACUGUCCUCGGAUGAGAAAUGCAACGUUUGCCCUACUGGAGAGUCCCAGAACAGGGCAGGUGGGCAGCAGCAAUUGCCUGAGCUAGAGGGGAGCCAAGACACCAGGGUUAACAGCCCUCAUCUUGGGAAGAAAAAAAGACACAGGAUCUUUAAUGACCAAAAUGGCUGAGACCUUUGUUUUAUACCUCUUCUGAAAAGCAAUCACACACAUUUUAGCAGGGGAGCUUUUAUUCUCAUGCGGAUGGGGUAGCCAGUGCAGUGUCCUCUCCCAAGCGCAUCCAGACCUGGUCAGUCCAAGUGCACAGAAGAGCAACAUGAAACAUGUUUGACCUUCACAACUUUCCUUUACAGACCAGCAGGAUAAAACCCUGAAGGAAUUCUCCUGAGUGAGUUUGUCCAAAGCAACAUUCACCACCUCAUUCAAUAUUUGCCUGCAAAAAAAAUGCCAAUUAUUGAAAGACAGUCCUGGCUGGGCAUCAAUAGGCAGCCAGGUGUGAGAAGUUGAAGAGAAAUGCAUCUCAUUAAUGUGGAAUUGUUUUUAGGUUAAUAAUCUUGCGUUAAUUUUCCUUUAAAAUAUUGUCUUUGACCGUUAAACGCUUGCACUGUUAUAAAAAGAACGUAAUAAAUGAUCUUGAAGCAAA